UUACCACGUAUUCCCUAGAAAAAGUGGC
rnacentral:sRNA from 1 species